GAUGAACGCUGGCUACAGGCUUAACACAUGCAAGUCGAGGGGAAACGACGGGGAAGCUUGCUUCCCCGGGCGUCGACCGGCGCACGGGUGAGUAACGCGUAUCCAACCUGCCUCUGACUGAGGGAUAACCCGUCGAAAGUCGGCCUAAUACCCCAUGGCAUCGCCUGCGGGCAUACAACGACGUCUAAAGAUUUCAUCGGUCAGAGAUGGGGAUGCGUCUGAUUAGCUUGUUGGCGGGGUAACGGCCCACCAAGGCGACGAUCAGUAGCGGUUCUGAGAGGAAGGUCCCCCACAAUGGAACUGAGACACGGUCCAAAAUCCUACGGGAGGCAGCAGUGAGGAAUAUUAGUCAAUGGGCGAGAGCCUGAACCAGCCAAGUAGCGUGCAGGAUGACGGCCCUAUGGGUUGUAAACUGCUUUUAUGCGGGGGUAAAGUGAGGGACGUGUCCUUCAUUGCAGGUACCGCAUGAAUAAGGACCGGCUAAUUCCGUG
rnacentral:rRNA from 1 species